rnacentral:rRNA from 1 species
AUUGAACGCUGGCGGCAGGCCUAACACAUGCAAGUCGAGCGGGGUUUUCGGACCUAGCGGCGGACGGGUGAGUAAUGCGUAGGAAGCUGCCCGUUAGAGGGGGAUACCAGUUGGAAACGACUGUUAAUACCGCAUAAUGUCUACGGACCAAAGUGUGGGACCUUCGGGCCACAUGCUAUCGGAUGCGCCUACGUGGGAUU